rnacentral:misc_RNA from 1 species
GAACUGCGAUAAGUAAUGUGAAUUGCAGAAUUCAGUGAAUCAUCGAGUCUUUGAACGCACAUUGCGCCCCCUGGCAUUCCGGGGGGCAUGCCUGUCCGAGCGUCAUUGUUGCCCUUCAAGCCCGGCUUGUGUGUUGGGUCGUCGUCCCCUCCGGGGGACGGGCCCGAAAGGCAGCGGCGGCACCGCGUCCGGUCCUCGAGCGUAUGGGGCUUUGUCACCCGCUCGAUAAGGACCGGCCGGGCGCCAGCCGGCGUCUCCAACCUUUUUUUCUCAGGUUGACCUCGGAUCAGGUAGGGAUACCCGCUGAACUUAAGC